CCCCGAAAGGUACAACGGCAGCCUGCAGCUGGAAAAGAAUAGUUGUUCGUGAGCGAAAAUCGAAUCGCAGAAGAAUCUUUGUGGUGAUUUGGCACAUUGGCUAUUGGUCAGCGGCUAUAAAGGUUUUAACAUCAAGAGUCAAGAUGCUAUUUCCGGCAACGAAUCGGGUAUGGGCAGCUAAAAAUAGUGUGGAUCAAUGUUGGUCAACGUCUGCAUGUGGAUUAUUUCAAAUCUUAAAAGCAUUGUAACAAUUACUCUUGCGUCUAAUGAGGCCAGAAAUAUGAAAAUCAAUUUUUGGCUGAAAUUUAUUUGAAUAGAAUUUAAUCCAAUCAAAAUUCCAAUUGAGAGACUAUUCAAAGCUAUGCAAAUUGCAGCGUUCCACAAGUUUCUCGGAAAUUAGAUUUUCUGCCCUCAAUAAAACGUUAACAACCGUUCAACGACUACCAUGCACCAUCUCGUCGCAUCCCACUGUUUCAUCAACCAUGCUGCUGGAGCUUCCAUUGGUGUUGAUCAUCAAACUUUUUUUGUUUGUCCAGAGUUUGCAUUUGGAAUCCAACGUAAGACCGCAAGCCAAAUUUGUCGCAAGCAAGAUGGAAACAAGGCUAAAGCAGGCAUUCAGACUUAUUUCCGAAAUUGAUCCAAUAUUCAGACGAUAAAAAAGAAAUUGAAUGGUGCAGGCUGACUUGAAAAGAUGUUUACAAUAUCUAAAAAAGUAAUUUUAGAUUAUUCAUGGGAGUCGAUUUGGGAACGAUGACAAGAUGCACGAAGAAGCGAUUGGAAUGAAUCCGAAAAUUCUCAAAUCAUAACCAAAAAUUUCCAGACUACCCAACGAGAAUGUACCGCGACUUUAAAAUGGGGCUGUUGCUUUUGGUAUUGAUUAACAAGAAAACAUCGAAUUUGAAGUUGGAUAUUUUUUGCAUCGUCUAUUUCCGUACCUCCGUUUAAUAUUUUUGAUCUAACAACUUGAUUAUGAAUUUUAUAAAAUAAUGCAUGUCGAUAACUACCUUUGGCUGGUGCUAUGGAAUGGAAACUUCCGGAAAAUCAAAAUUGUAUUUUAUUUUUGUUAUUAUUUGCUUCAAUUACGAAAAACACAGCAAGUGUAAUACAGAUAUUUAUAAGGAUAAUUUAUUGUGAAUAAAAAAUGAGAAUUUAUGGCAAGCGA